GCAAGGGUGCGUGCGCCACUCCCGCCAAGCGUCGGCUCUGUUUCUUCCCUUUUAGCCUUCAGGCGCCAAAUUCUGCGGGGCGCCAGAAGGCUAAAAGGGAAAAAACAGAGCCAAUGCUUGGCGGGAGCGGCGCAUGCACCCUCGC